GACGAACGCUGGCGGCGUGCUUAACACAUGCAAGUCGAACGGUAAGGCCCUUCGGGGUACACGAGUGGCGAACGGGUGAGUAACACGUGGGUGAUCUGCCCUGCACUUCGGGACAAGCCUGGGAAACUGGGUCAAAUACCGGAUAGGACCCUGGGAUGCAUGUCCUGGGGUGGAAAGCUUUUGCGGUGUGGGAUGGGCCCGCGGCCUAUCAGCUUGUUGGUGGGGUGAUGGCCUACCAAGGCGACGACGGGUAGCCGGCCUGAGAGGGUGACCGGCCACACUGGGACUGAGAUACGGCCCAGACUCAUACGGGAGGCAGCAGUGGGGAAUAUUGCACAAUGGGCGCAAGCCUGAUGCAGCGACGCCGCGUGAGGGAUGACGGCCUUCGGGUUGUAAACCUCUUUCAGCACCGACGAAGCGCAAGUGACGGUAGGUGCAGAAGAAGGACCGGCCAACUACGUGCCAGCCGCCGCGGUAA
rnacentral:rRNA from 1 species